rnacentral:rRNA from 1 species
UACAGAGGGUGCAAGCGUUGUCCGGAAUCAUUGGGCGUAAAGCGCGUGUAGGCGGCCGAGUAAGUCUGCUCUGAAAGCCCUGGGCUCAACCUGGGAACGGCAUUGGAAACUGGCUUACUAGAGUGCGGUAGAGGGGUGUGGAAUUCCCGGUGUAGCAGUGAAAUGCGUAGAUAUCGGGAGGAACAUCUGUGGCGAAGGCGACACCCUGGACCAGCACUGACACUGAGGCACGAAAGCGUGGGGAGCAAACAGG